AUUGAACGCUAGCGGCAUGCCUUACACAUGCAAGUCGAACGGCAGCGCGGGAGCAAUCCUGGCGGCGAGUGGCGAACGGGUGAGUAAUGCAUCGGAACGUGCCCAUCGAUGGGGGAUAACUGCGCGAAAGCGUUGCUAAUACCGCAUACGACCUACGGGUGAAAGCAGGGGACCGCAAGGCCUUGCGUCGAUGGAGCGGCCGAUGCCGGAUUAGCUAGUUGGUGAGGUAAAGGCUCACCAAGGCGACGAUCCCGUAGCUGGUCUGAGAGGACGACCAGCCACACUGGGACUGAGACACGGCCCAGACUCCUACGGGAGGCAGCAGUGGGGAAUCUUGGACAAUGGGCGAAAGCCUGAUCCAGCAAUGCCGCGUGUGGGAAGAAGGCCCUCGGGUUGUAAACCACUUUUGGCAGGAAAGAAAUGGUCUGUGCUAAUACCACGGAUUGAUGACGGUACCCGCAGAAUAAACACCGGCUAACUACGUG
rnacentral:rRNA from 1 species